UCACCUAGGUUGAGUGGUAAAGCUCUCGACUUUGAUUCGUCAGGUCGUGGGUUCGAAGCCCGCCACGGUAAGAG